UCAAGGAGUACAAUAUCAGCCGUCACUUUGCCACAAAGCAUGCUAACUACGCUAGCAAGCAAUCAACACAAGAACGCGCGGCUACUGCUCAGAGGUUGGUAGCUAAUUUAAAGACUCAGCAGAAUGUUUUUCACCGACAAACUGCGAUUCAAGAGUCAAGUACCAAGGCAAGWUUUUUGCUGGCAAGCCUUUCUCCGAAGGUGAGUUUUUGAAAGAAUGCAUGUUGGAGACAGCAGAUCUCUUGUGUCCGACGUGAUAAUGUUACAAAUAUCUUUAAAAUUUCCUCUWCGGYCAUAUUUUUGUCCGUUUUCUCGUCAAUAYGCGAGAGCUUAGAGCGACACURCAGCUACAGUGGACACUGCAGCUACMGUGGACAUGGUAGGUUUUCUCUUCCUAAUAUUAACUCUGAUUUAAAUAUCCUGAACAAACUUGAGAACAAGCUGUUAAUUUCAAUGUUGUGGCAAACUUGCAGUCUCUAGAUAAGGAUCCAGAAAAGAUCCCAGAGCCUUUCCACGAAGAUCUGCAGGAGAUAAAGAAGGAGAUGGAAAAAAAAAAAUUGGUUACCUUCUGCCACCAGCGGAUCUUUGGCCAAACUUUGCUCUGGAGUCUCAAGGUGCAAAACUUGUGCACCAUUUGACUUCAGCAACAUUUCACARCAACAGAACAUGUAGAUUGUUUGGGAUAUAUUUUCAACAACCCACAGGCCCAAGCAUAGCCAUUCAGCAUGUGGUGCUGUUGCUACAGAGAGGUCUACAAUUACCGGAAGUAGAAAAAACCUCUUGUUGAUGUACUGUGGCGCUAACUGGUAAAACGGAAGAGAAGGAAAUUUUUUGAUCUGAGACCUGGUGGAGAAGACGACUCUAUGGCCACAUGAGAGAAGAAUCCAAGUGUUCGAGGUGCCACUGCCGUUUGUUUAGCCGUUUGUUUUACUGCUAUAGUUUUAGUUAGUAUGUUUUAUUUUGUAUUAGGCACAUUUUUUGGUAUUGUGACUUUUAUUUUGAAAAUCUAAGUAGGAAGUGCAUUCCAGAAUGUUCGCUGGGGCACCAGAAAAAGGAAAGAAGCACGUGAUGUAGCAUGAUGAUAGCAAGUGGUUCCAAUUAAUUUAAGUUUAAGAAUUCCUUUUUGUUUUCGCUCUCAUUUCUACAUCACAAGAAACGGUCAGCCAGUGAGUUCGACGGUGGUGUUGUGUCAGUGGCACAAAAGUUAUAAGAAGACUUGUAUUAAAGAUGACUAAACACCGGCAGUAGCGAGCUCUUUCUUGACAAAGAAGAGGUGGAAGUGAUAGUUUGUUUAGCCGUUUUAUGCUGUUAGAUUUCAGCGCUGCGUUAUACUCUGAGCGCUAACCGCAUUGUUAGCCCGCCAUUUCACCGAAGCUAAGGCUUUCUACUGUUCGAAAUACGGGACAUUUAUUUCUCCAUAUAUUGAAUUUCAUUCUUUUUAUUUUGUUUCAACAUUGUCUUUUUGAGAAUAAAGAACCCCUUCUGUGUGAAGCUCCGUGUGCUGUAUUAAUCCCGGCUUCACAUAUUGGUACAAUGAGUGGGGUCUCGUUCUUACAUUUUUUUUUCUCUCUGUGAGGACAUGUAUAUGGCGGUGCAGCGUUAGCAUUAAACGGCAGUGGUGAAGAAGUGGCCUACACCAGAGUGGACAUGGGUAUCGUAUCUGUGUGGCGGCAUCUGUUUCGAGAUCAGAGGAGGACGUUGCUGAACAGUUUGUGCUGGCGUGGUUGAGAGGGAUUUCAGCCGAGGUGAUCGUCAGACCAGAACGCAUUCCAGGCGGGAGAAAGCAUCGCCCAUCAGCGGUCUUGGAGCAGCCUAGGAGCAUCCAGUGGACUCGGGAUUUCAACCAAUUUAUCCUUUGCUAUAUACAUUUCUAUUGACUGUUAAGUGAACUUAAAAACAACAAAAACAAAACACAGAACAUGUCUGACCAAGGUGAAAACUUUGAGAUGGAUGAAGAACAGUUGGUAGUGAAUGAUACAGAGGAUAAUGAACAGGAUGGUGGACAGAACCUUGAACAAAAGGACAUUGAACAAGCUGGGGUAUUGCAACAACUAAGUUAGUUAGCCAGAAGACAAGAAGUAGGUACCGGCAACCAAUUUUUUUUCUUUAUGUUUUUUGUACUCUGAAUGUAUUUUUCUAUUACGUGUAUUACCAGAAUUAGAGCAGCCCAUUAUCUCUAACGGUUUCCGAGAUUUUGGGGGGGUAUGUGUACCUUGCCACAAAUCCACCUUUGAGUAGAAAAAGAUGGGAUUUUUGAAAGCCGAUUACUUAAAUAAUAAAAUAAAUUUGACAUUU